GACGAACCGUCCAAACGUUAUUCGGAAUCACUGGGCUUACAGAGUUCGUAGGCGGUCUGGAAAGUUGGGUGUGAAAUCCCUCGGCCUAACCGAGGAACUGCGCUUGAAACUACCAGACUCGAGGGGGAUAGAGGAAAGCGGAACUGAUGGUGGAGCGGUGAAAUGCGUUGAUAUCAUCAGGAACACCGGUGGCGAAGGUGGCUUUCUGGGUCUUACCUGACGCUGAGGAACGAAAGCCAGGGGAGCGAACGGG
rnacentral:rRNA from 1 species